GAUUCUCUACACUCAGUUGGUAGAGCAUGGUGUUUGCAACGCCAGGGUUGUGGGUUCGAUUCCCACGGGGGACCA
rnacentral:tRNA from 1 species